rnacentral:rRNA from 1 species
GACGAACGCUGGCGGCGUGCCUAAUACAUGCAAGUCGAGCGAGCUUGCCUAGAUGAAUUUGGUGCUUGCACCAAAUGAAACUAGAUACAAGCGAGCGGCGGACGGGUGAGUAACACGUGGGUAACCUGCCCAAGAGACUGGGAUAACACCUGGAAACAGAUGCCAAUACCGGAUAACAACACUAGACGCAUGUCUAGAGUUUAAGAGAUGGUUCUGCUAUCACUCUUGGAUGGACCUGCGGUGCAUUAGCUAGUUGGUAAGGUAACGGCUUACCAAGGCAAUGAUGCAUAGCCGAGUUGAGAGACUGAUCGGCCACAUUGGGACUGAGACACGGCCCAAACUCCUACGGGAGGCAGCAGUAGGGAAUCUUCCACAAUGGACGCAAGUCUGAUGGAGCAACGCCGCGUGAGUGAAGAAGGGUUUCGGCUCGUAAAGCUCUGUUGGUAGUGAAGAAAGAUAGAGGUAGUAACUGGCCUUUAUUUGACGGUAAUUACUUAGAAAGUCACGGCUAACUACGUGCCAGCAGCCGCGGUAAUACGUAGGUGGCAAGCGUUGUCCGGAUUUAUUGGGCGUAAAGCGAGUGCAGGCGGUUCAAUAAGUCUGAUGUGAAAGCCUUCGGCUCAACCGGAGAAUUGCAUCAGAAACUGUUGAACUUGAGUGCAGAAGAGGAGAGUGGAACUCCAUGUGUAGCGGUGGAAUGCGUAGAUAUAUGGAAGAACACCAGUGGCGAAGGCGGCUCUCUGGUCUGCAACUGACGCUGGGGCUCGAAAGCAUGGGUAGCGAACAGG